CUCGGGCUGGGUUUUGCUUGCCAGCGCCGGUUAUAUUGAACAAUGAGCUAAUUCUGAUGGUAGCUGGCCAGCUGCCAGCUCCAUCCUCCCUUUACACACACACACACACACACGCACGCACACACACUCCCCCUGCCCGCCCGCCUCCCCCCGCACGAUGCUGCAGCGCCAGACUGCUUAGUCUGCAAUAAUCCGCAGCCCCGCGUUCCCCCGCUGUCUGGGAGCCACCGGGCAGCGCCCGCCGGCCGAGCCCCGCCGGGGCAGCGCCGGAUGCGGGGCGAUGGUGCGGGGAGCAGGAGCGGGGCGAUGGAUUUCCAUUUGUUGAGUGCAAGGUAGCACGUCUCUGCACCUUCCUGAACAGCUACUACAUCUCUGGACAUGGUUUGCAGGCCUGCCAGCUUAAGGAAAAUUCAGCAGCUGGAAGGGAGAAAUAUGGGACAAAAGUAGCCCCUGAUAUUUAAACCCCUGAUCAUUUCCUGAUAUGUUGUGGAGAAGAGAGAUAUAAGCUCCCAGCUAGAGUUGUCAUGUCUUUCUCUGUCCCCUGCCACCUCAACACCACCUGUGCCCAACUUCCACAGUCUAUCUGUAGUCCAUCCUCUGCACCCCAUUUGAGAACCUACCCACAUCCUAAAAUUCCUUCUGGAACCACCAAGAAUGGUUGUGGAUAGGUGUAAACAUCCUUCUGAGCCCUUUUAGCCUCCAUUUUCUUCCCGAUGACCUGGUUUCGUAGCCCAGCCAUCCAAUUCUGACGUUGGGCACAACACACAAAACUGACAAGACUCUGGCCUGGAAAUCCAUCAGACUCAAGCCUGCUAAAGGUGGUUGAGAGCUGCUUGGUCCUGUGAUGAAUGGGUUUGGGAUUGCCUGGAGCACCUGAAGAAGGAAGGUGGUUAGAAGGUGCACAAGAUGCUGGGUGAAGGUGAUAGCUCGGCAGCUGGAGCCAGUCUCUACUAGUUCAUGAUUCCCAACUUUGCAGUUGUGCAUUUGGAAAACACGGCCACAGUACCAGCAGGUGCCUAAGAGUUCAGGGUGUAUCUGAAAAAGGUCGUGACUCUGUUCACCAACAACACAUCUCCCAUUCAUUUGGAAGAGACUAAGCUUCAGUCCAUUAUCCUUCAUCCAAUAAAUAAUUCUCUCUUUUUUCUGGUAUUUCUCAUAACAGUAGCCAAAGAACAGGCAGUAAAAGGUUAAAGUUAGAAGAAAAAGUUAAAAGAUCCCUUUUAAAUUGGUGAACAGAGCUUCUUUCUUAAAGACAUGUAUGUGUGUGUGUUCACAAAACACUUUGUAUUUUACCGUUUUGCUGAAGCCUGGGAUUCAGCAAUUCCAGCAUGUCAUAAAAAAGAAAUUGUGCAUUUAAAAAGAAUUAAUAAAAUGAAAAAGAGUUCCAAAUUA